UAAAGUUAAUGUGCUAGGUGGUGGGGUUGGGGAAGUCAAGUAAAAAAUUUGAUUAUUUGUCUAAUAGUAUUAGAACCCCCACCAAGAGCAGGGUCUUAUUCUGCUAGUUGCAGUACAUAUGCAGAAUAAAACAAUCUCUAUCCCCAAAGAGCUUACAAUGUAAAUAGCCAAGAGAGCUAAAGGGAGGGAGGGGGAACAGGCACAGAGCUGUGAAGUGACUUAUCCAAGGUUACACCUGCAGGUCAAUGGCAGAACCAGGAUUAGAGUCCAAGUUCCCUGACUCCCCAGUGCCCCCUCAACUGCAUUUAGGCCAGAAUGUAGUGAAGGUUUAGUAACUUUUGGUUCCUGUGUGGGUGAAUUCUAUGGCCUGGGAUCAACCCCAAGAAGGUCCCAUCUCUGGCACCAGCCCUAAUGGCGCGCUUUGUUACUAAGCUGGGUCACUGGCAAGAUCCUGGAGACAAAGUUGGCCUUUAAAUAUCCUUAGCCCAGAUCAUUUAGCCCUUUGGACAAUAACAAAGCAGGGCUCUGAGACGUCGGUGUAUGCGGGGAAGCCCCGGUGUGCUGUGCUUUUGGCAGUCCAUGUUGCUGAAAUUGUGCUGUUGCAUUCUGCACUAGUUGCAGUUUUCUUAUGGCUGAUUCAAGCCCAAGUAAACUACGCUGCCAUAAUCCAUCUGGGAGGUGAUGGUGGGCCUGAGUAUUGUGCCACAGUGUUCUAACUAAUUAGCAAUGGUAAAAGGUGGGUGCUGCCAAAUGAAAGCCCAGCUUCAGCUAAGAGUCCAGAACUGCUAAACUGCAGGCUACUUUGAGCUGUUUGGGUGGCAUAUAAACCAGGGAGAAAUAACUAUUUUACUUUGCUAAGUGUAGUAAAGCAGCAUGAUAGGGUUAACUGGGUUAGCCAGAAUACUGUGAGGUAGUCAUGGUUCAGUUUUUGUGGAAGUUACACAGAGAGUGAGUGAGUUAUGAUGCAAUUAAAUAGAGCAGCAAGUUCCCAGCCUGUAGUCCUGUGAGCAGACUUGGUUUUGUUGCACUGAGUGUUCCGUUACAAACAUAUGUCCCUAAAAUAAAUUCAGGCCUAAAUUCCCAAGGUGUGGGCCAUCUGCAGCUCCCAUUGAAUCAACAGGAGCUGGAAGUGCUCGGCACCAAUGAAAAUCAGGCCAUCAGCUUGUAAAAUGACCUUGACGAGGAAAUGCACCCUAGCUGAUAAAGCCACAGAUGAGAAGCUGGGAUCUUGGGUUCUAAUCUCAGCUGUUUAGUUACUGACUCCCUGUGCAACCGUGGUAAGUCAUUUGACUUUCUGUACCAUGGUCUGCUCACUAGGGAAACUAGGUAAAACGGAGGAUCUCACUGAUGACCAGGAGCUGCAGCUGACCUGACCUUUGCAUGAAAAGCUGUGUGCCUACACUUGCCAUUGAAGUCCACGGGGCGUGCAGAAGCUGAGCACCUUUGAAACUCUGGCCACAUCUAUUAAGUUACAGACUCCGCAUGGCCUCUAGAUGUCCCCCCUCCUCUUCUCAGAACACCUGCACCAGGCAAUGCAAGAAAUCCAACUGCACGACGGCCCACUUCUUCAAGGAAUAGACUCUCCUGCUGCACAUCAAACCAAAACA